GGGGUUGUGGCUCAGUGGUAGAGUGCUUGCCUAGCAUGUGUGAGACACUGGGUUCGACUCUCAGCACCA
rfam:Ictidomys tridecemlineatus contig103391, whole genome shotgun sequence.